UCAGAUCUUAGAUGAUUUCAUCUUCUUCUUGACAUCUCUACCGAUGGAACAUUGGGUAAUCAUGUUCUCCUUCUUCUGUUCUUGACAGUCCCGAUAACGAAGAGGAGCUUAAAAAGCUCGAUGAGAAGAUUGCAGAUGCAUAAGAAAAUUUGGGUGAAAGUGAAGUACGUGAAGGCUUCACGGUGAAGCUCAUCUUGCUAAGGCUCUGUAUUUCAUCAGGAUCAGUGAUAAGGAGAAAGCUUU